rnacentral:rRNA from 1 species
UACGUAGGGGGCAAGCGUUGUUCGGAUUUAUUGGGCGUAAAGAGCGUGUAGGCGGCCAGGUAGGUCAGCUGUGAAAACUCGAGGCUCAACCUCGAGACGCCGGUUGAAACCAUCUGGCUAGAGUCCGGAAGAGGAGAGUGGAAUUCCUGGUGUAGCGGUGAAAUGCGCAGAUAUCAGGAAGAACACCCGUGGCUAAGGCGGCUCUCUAGUACGGUACUGACGCUGAGACGCGAAAGCGUGGGGAGCGAACAGG